AAACCAACAGGGAUUGCCCUAGUAACGGCGAGUGAAGCGGCAACAGCUCAAAUUUGAAAUCUGGCCUUCGGGUCCGAAUUGUAAUUUGUAGAGGAUGCUUUGGGUGCGGUACCUUCCGAGUUCCCUGGAACGGGACGCCGGAGAGGGUGAGAGCCCCGUACGGUUGGAUACCAAGCCUAUGUAUAGCUCCUUCGACGAGUCGAGUAGUUUGGGAAUGCUGCUCUAAAUGGGAGGUAAAUUUCUUCUAAAGCUAAAUACCGGCCAGAGACCGAUAGCGCACAAGUAGAGUGAUCGAAAGAUGAAAAGCACUUUGAAAAGAGGGUUAAAUAGCACGUGAAAUUGUUGAAAGGGAAGCGUUUGCGACCAGACCUUUUCCAGGCGGAUCAUCCGGUGUUCUCACCGGUGCACUUCGCCUGGUUUAGGCCAGCAUCGGUUUUCUUAGGGGGAUAAAGGUUUAGGGCACGUAGCUCCUUCGGGAGUGUUAUAGCCCUUUACGUAAUACCCUUCGGGGGACCGAGGACCGCGCAUUGCAAGGAUGCUGGCGUAAUGGUCGUCAACGAC
rnacentral:rRNA from 1 species